rnacentral:rRNA from 1 species
AUGAACGCUAGCGGCAGGCUUAAUACAUGCAAGUUGAGGGGCAGCAUGAUAUACGCGAGUAUAUUGAUGGCGACCGGCGACGGGUGAGUAAUAGGUAGGAGACCUACCUCAUACAGGGGGAUAGCAUAGAGAAAUCUGUGGUAAUACCCCAUGAGGUUAUAUGAAUAGAGGCAUAUAAUCAAAGCAUAAGCGAUUAUGCGGUAUGAGAGGGCCUACUGACCAUUAGCUAGUUGGUGAGGUAAGGGCUCACCAAGGCGAAGAUGGUUAGGGGUUUUGAGAGAGAGACCCCCCACAUUGGAACUGAGAGACGGUCCAGACUCCUACGGGAGGCAGCAGUAGGGAAUAUUGGGCAAUGGGCGAAAGCCUGACCCAGCCAUGCCGCGUGAAGGAAGACGGCCUUAUGGGUUGUAAACUUCUUUACUACGCGAAUAGAGGUUAGUACGAGAUACUAAUAGGAAGGUAGUGUAGUAAAAAGCACCGGCUAACUCCGUG